CUGCUCUCUUACAUGUAGGAUGGUGGGCUGCUCUAAGAAUGGCGGCCUACGUGGAGAUGUUCUUAGUCACUUGGUGGUGGACUGACAUCACAAUGUCAUCUUUAUUUACUGAGGUCCACCCAUAGGACAACGUAAAGGAUGUCACCCGAGGCCGGUGGUCCCUCCAAUACAGAGAUGUCCUGAGCAAAGGUGAUCUGGUGGAUAUGAUGGCAACUGCAGAAGACAUGGUCAUACACAAUGGCCUCUUUCAGAUGCUUCGGCGGUCCACCAAGAGGAAACACAAGGGGAUUCCUUACUCUCUUACAUGUAGGAUGGUGUUCUGCUCUAAGAAUGGCGGCCUGUGUGGAGAUGUCCUUAGCUACUCGGUGGUGGACCGAUGUCACAAUGUCAUCUUUAUUUACUGUGGUCCACCCAUAGGACAACGUAAAGGACGUGACCCGAGGCCGGUGGUCCCUCCACUUCACAGAAAGAUGUGAUGAGGCCUACAGAAGAACAUUUCAUGCACACACUGGAGCUCAGAGAGCUUUACAUUAAAAUUAGAAAA